UGGAUAUUUGUCCUGACCGCUUAGCAGGACUUCGUUCCUAUCUCGUGCUCAGCGUUAUCUUCUCCGUGGCGCUCAUCUCCCUGAUAUUUUCACUGCGCCGCGGCUUCCAGCGCUCAGCCUCCAGCUCCCACGCGCACUCCACCUCGUCCAUGGCCGCCGAUCGAGUCCCUCCCCAUCUCCUACAACCGGCCGCCCUGCUCGUUCUCCCUAGCUGCGAUGUGGAGCUCGCCCUGGACGAUCGUCCUUGCCCCUCCUCUCUGAUCUGCGUGCAGGGGUUUCCCUCCCAUGGCGCCUGGUCUUCUUCCCUUGACUCCAUGCCGAGCGCCCCAGUCGAGCUCGUCCUGGCUCCAGCUUCUUCCUUGGACGGCGGAGCCCUCCCAUUCCUGCAGCAGGCCAGCGUCCCUCUCUCCAUCAUCUUCUCUGCUUGGUUCCUGGCGAGCUCCCCCUGCUCUUCUGCUCGCCCUGGCCCUGUGCCAUUUUUCCAUUCCUGCGGCAAGCACCAGUCCCUCCCCACGCCAACAUCCCUUUCCUACGGACGCUGCCCCUCUCUGGUUUCUGGUGGCCGGCCACCUCUGCUGCUCCCAUGUUUUAUGUGUGUUGAUGUGUACGAUAUGGAGUAAAAUCUCUGGAGAAUUAGGUGGAGGAGAAGGUUAAGUUCAACGCUCCUUAGGUGUUCUAUGAAGUGCUUGAACUGAAGUUCGUUGUCGUUCUGUUCACCGCGGUGAGACAUGUUAAUUAUGCGCUAUUCAUUUUCGUUGAUGUGUAUGCCUGGAUGUUUAAUUAAACGUAUUUGUAUGAUUGGAGGAGAAAUCUCUAGAUAUGAGUAGGGGAGCAAGUCUUAAUGUGGCGUCCGUCAAAUGUUCGAUGAAGUGCUCGGACUAGAACUCGUUAUCGAUGUAUGAAAUAUGAUUGUGAACAUGCUUGUAAAGUAAUUGUGUCAUGUGUUGAAGUUCAGAUUUUAGAUACAAAUUGUGUGAAUAAUGUUGGAUGAAUGUAUAGGCGUAGUGUCAAUUUAGUGGUUCUUCAUUGCGAUGUAAACUUUAGGUUUGAAAUACAAGUUCAUA
rnacentral:misc_RNA from 1 species